rnacentral:lncRNA from 1 species
AAGGAGGAGGAGAGAAGCUCCUUCUCCUUCUUCUCCUCCUUCUCCUCCUUCUCCUUCUUCUCCUCCUUCUCCUCCUUCUUCUCCUUCUCUUCCUCCUCCUCCUCCUCCUCCUUCUUCUUCUUCUUCUUUUUCUUCUCCUUCUUCUUCUCUUCAUGCUUCUUAUCUUCGUGCUUCUUAUCUUUCUUCUUCUACGUAGGUUAUUUUCCCCAACAAAGACAUACUUAGCUAAUUAUC